rnacentral:misc_RNA from 1 species
AUCAGUCAAAUACAGUAAAUAAUACUGAUCAGAUUAAUAAAAAUCAUGCAUAUACUAGUUGUUCACAUCGGUGAUGAAUUAAACUUAAUAAAUAAGAAUGUAACCCUGUUUGUUUCUCUCUGAUAUCCUGCGCGCUGCACAGAGAGUUGAUGAGCUUUUAACAACUUGGCAAGGGUAUUUGUCCAAGGUUUUUAGAGAGACAGAGAGAGAGAGAGA